CUGUAUAAAUAGAGGGUAGCAUUUGCAAAAUAGAAACAAAUACUUGCAAACUUUGCAUCAAAACAAUUGUUUAUAUUUUUAAUUUUAUACACCAUCUUUCAAUAUGCAAAAGCAAGAAAACCAAGUAAAUCAACCACCUCCACUAGGCUAUCCCAUUGAACUUACUCCAAAUGAGAACAAGAAGAAAAAGAUGAAAGGGUGGCCAAGAAGUAAGCCAAGAGGAGAAAGAGGGUUCUUGGAAGGAUGCCUCUUUGCAUUGUGUUGCUGCUGGCUAUGUGAAGUUUGUUUUGACUAAAACCUUUGGGGGUACAUGAUUCAUCUAAAGGAAUCAACUUGUGUUUCUCUAUUCAACUAGUGAUGCACUAUGCACUAUACUAUAUGUGAUUCUUCACUUUAUAAAUUAUGUAACAAAUUAUGUUGUUAUAUUUUGAGACUUUGUAUUGAUGAAGUUUAUGUAUCUUUUCUUGUUCAAUGAAUAAUAUAAUUCUUGUAUUCCUCCUCC